CUUGCUGCGUCUUCGGCAUCUUCCUCUGCAGAUUCUGUACCAUCUGAGCCACCAGGGAAGCCCAGAGAAGAGUGACGACCAGGUGCAGACAUGAUGUGGCCCUAGAGUAGAAGAUCCUUCUGUGACUUGCUUUGAAUCUCCUGAAUGCAAAACCAAUUAGAUGAAGAGAUGGAGUAUAUGCGUAGGGGCUAGUCUUCUGAGGAAGACUCCCACCCCCAACUCCUGAUAUUCAAAAAUCCUGCACUCCUUUGGGGGUACGUGAGGGUGUGCCAAAACUCAGGAGUAAGACAAUCCCUUGAGAGAAGACCGCUGAUGGAGGCUCAACAAUAAGCAAGGUGCAAAGAACAUGAGCUGGG